rnacentral:rRNA from 2 species
GACGAAGGAUGCAAGCGUUAUCCGGAUUCAUUGGGUUUAAAGGGAGCGUAGGCGGAUUGGUAAGUCAGUGGUGAAAUCUGUGGGCUUAACCCACAAACUGCCAUUGAUACUGCUGAUCUAGAGUACAGUUGCCGUUGGCGGAAUAUGACAUGUAGUGGUGAAAUACUUAGAUAUGUCAUAGAACACCGAUUGCGAAGGCAGCUAACGAAGCUGUAACUGACGCUGAGGCUCGAAAGUGCGGGGAUCAAACAGG